AGUGAACGCUGGCGGUAGGCCUAACACAUGCAAGUCGAACGGCAGCACAGUAAGAGCUUGCUCUUACGGGUGGCGAGUGGCGGACGGGUGAGGAAUACAUCGGAAUCUACUUUUUCGUGGGGGAUAACGUAGGGAAACUUACGCUAAUACCGCAUACGACCUACGGGUGAAAGCAGGGGAUCUUCGGACCUUGCGCGAUUGAAUGAGCCGAUGUCGGAUUAGCUAGUUGGCGGGGUAAAGGCCCACCAAGGCGACGAUCCGUAGCUGGUCUGAGAGGAUGAUCAGCCACACUGGAACUGAGACACGGUCCAGACUCCUACGGGAGGCAGCAGUGGGGAAUAUUGGACAAUGGGCGCAAGCCUGAUCCAGCCAUACCGCGUGGGUGAGGAAGGCCUUCGGGUUGUAAAGCCCUUUUGUUGAGAAAGAAAAGCAGCAGGUUAAUACCCCGCUGUUCUGACGGUACCCAAAGAAUAAGCACCGGCUAACUUCGUG
rnacentral:rRNA from 1 species